AACGAACGCUGGCGGCGUGGUUAAAACAUGCAAGUCGAACGAAGUCUUCGGACUUAGUGGCGGACGGGUGAGUAACACGUGGGAACGUGCCUUUAGGUUCGGAAUAACUCAGGGAAACUUGUGCUAAUACCGAAUGUGCCCUUCGGGGGAAAGAUUUAUCGCCUUUAGAGCGGCCCGCGUCUGAUUAGCUAGUUGGUGAGGUAAAGGCUCACCAAGGCGACGAUCAGUAGCUGGUCUGAGAGGAUGAUCAGCCACAUUGGGACUGAGACACGGCCCAAACUCCUACGGGAGGCAGCAGUGGGGAAUCUUGCGCAAUGGGCGAAAGCCUGACGCAGCCAUGCCGCGUGAAUGAUGAAGGUCUUGGGAUUGUAAAAUUCUUUCACCGGGGACGAUAAUGACGGUACCCGGAGAAGAAGCCCCGGCUAACUUCGUGCCAGCCGCCGCGGUAAGAC
rnacentral:rRNA from 1 species